AUGUAUUUUUAUUCAUGUGCCACAGCUCAUUUAGACCAUUUCUUACUUGUAGAUACUUGGUUUCUUUUCAGUCCUUUGCUACUAAAAGAACACUACAAUGAGCAACCCAACCAUGAGUGCCUCUGUGAACACCAGUGGUGUUUUGAAGAACUGGUCCUACAGGCGUCAUUGCUGGAUGCACACUGGAAAACAAAGAAGGUUGUGGAAAGCAACAAAGGACAUUGGAGCCUGCAGAUGGGACUAAAAGGUAAAGAGGCAAAAAGAAAGCGGUGAGGAGGAGAAAGGAGGGUCAGGUGACAUUAAAUGACCAGGUUGAACUCUGAAGAAGAUGGAUACUGCCACCAAGGACAACUAUAAGAAACCUCAAGGCAAGGACUAAGUGAUAAAUUGUUUUUC
rnacentral:lncRNA from 1 species